rnacentral:rRNA from 1 species
GCCAGCAGCCGCGGUAAUACCGACUCCAAGAGUGUGUAUGAGAGAUGCUGCAGUUAAAAAGUCCGUAGUCAUAGAAGGGCAAAGAGAGAUGCGAGGUCUCACAGUGCGAUGAUGGAGGAGCCGAUGGGGAACAUAGUAUACCAGGGCGAGAGAUGAAAUGCCAAGACCCCUGGUGGACUGAGCGAGGCGAAGGCGAUGUUCUUGUAGGCAUUCGGUGAUCAAGGACGAAGGCUGGAGUAUCGAAAGUGAUUAGAUACCGCAGUAGUUCCAGCAGUAAAAGAUGCCGACAUGCUCAUUGGACACAGUGGGCAGGGAGAAAUCUUAGAGUUCGGGCUCUGGGGAUAGUAUGCUCGCAAGGGUGAAAAUUAAAGAAAUUGACGGAGCUACACCACAAGGAGUGGAUUGUGCGGCUUAAUUUGACUCAACGCGAGGAAACUUACCAGGGCCAAGUAUUGUGUAGAAACGAGCAAUACAGGAGUGGUGCAUGGUCGUUGGAAAUUGAUGGGAUGACUUUGACCUUAAAUGGUUGAAUGAGUGAGAUCUUUUGGACAUGUUCCGCACGGAACAGGAAGGAAAAGGCUAUAACAGAUCCGAGAUGCCCUCAGAUGCCCUGGGCUGCACGCGCAAUACAAUAGCAGGUAGAGAGAGAGACAGGAAGGUGCUCAGAUGGACUAUGUGCUGUAAGGCACAUACGAAAGAGGAAUUCCUAGUAAGUGUGUAUCAACAAUGGAUAU